rnacentral:tRNA from 2 species
CAAGAGAUAGUUUAAUCAGAAUACUGGCUUUGGGAGCCAGCGGUGGGAGUUUAAUUCUCCCUUUUUUGA